rnacentral:tRNA from 1 species
GCCAGCGUAGCUCAAUGGUAGAGCGUCAGGCUUUUACUUGAUUUGAGAGAUUUCAAAAAUUUUCAAAAGUGUCAUUACCUGAAUGUUGCGGUCGACCCCCGCCGUUGGCU